UACGUAGGGCGCAAGCGUUAUCCGGAAUUAUUGGGCGUAAAGAGCUCGUAGGCGGUUUGUCGCGUCUGCCGUGAAAGUCCGGGGCUCAACUCCGGAUCUGCGGUGGGUACGGGCAGACUAGAGUGAUGUAGGGGAGACUGGAAUUCCUGGUGUAGUGGUGAAAUGCGCAGAUAUCAGGAGGAACACCGGUGGCGAAGGCGGAUCUCUGGGCCAUUACUGACGCUGAGGAGCGAAAGCGUGGGGAGCGAACAGG
rnacentral:rRNA from 1 species